UACGAAGGGGGCUAGCGUUGCUCGGAAUCACUGGGCGUAAAGGGUGCGUAGGCGGGUCUUUAAGUCAGGGGUGAAAUCCUGGAGCUCAACUCCAGAACUGCCUUUGAUACUGAGAUCUUGAGUUCGGGAGAGGUGAGUGGAACUGCGAGUGUAGAGGUGAAAUUCGUAGAUAUCGCAAGAACACCAGUGGCGAAGGCGGCUCACUGGCCCGAUACUGACGCUGAGU
rnacentral:rRNA from 1 species